GACGAACGCUGGCGGCGUGCCUAAUACAUGCAAGUAGAACGCACAGUUUAUACCGUAGCUUGCUACACCAUAGACUGUGAGUUGCGAACGGGUGAGUAACGCGUAGGUAACCUGCCUGGUAGCGGGGGAUAACUAUUGGAAACGAUAGCUAAUACCGCAUAAUAUUGAUUAUUGCAUGAUAAUUGAUUGAAAGCUGCUAUUGCAUCACUACCAGAUGGACCUGCGUUGUAUUAGCUAGUAGGUGAGGUAACGGCUCACCUAGGCGACGAUACAUAGCCGACCUGAGAGGGUGAUCGGCCACACUGGGACUGAGACACGGCCCAGACUCCUACGGGAGGCAGCAGUAGGGAAUCUUCGGCAAUGGACGAAAGUCUGACCGAGCAACGCCGCGUGAGUGAAGAAGGGUUUCGGAUCGUAAAGCUCUGUUGUAAGAGAAGAACGGGUGUGAGAGUGGAAAGUUCACACUGUGACGGUAUCUUACCAGAAAGGGACGGCUAACUACGUG
rnacentral:rRNA from 1 species